UAUUGUAUACAGAUGAUUGAUGAGAGAAGCACUAGAGCGAAUAUUACCAUGAGUCGUUCAGACUGCAUUAGGUGGUUCCGACUUAUGUGCAGAAGGCCGGACAGGUCACGCGGAGUGACUCCGGCAGAGAGUGAGAUUGAUAGAUGUUGAGCUCUAGGUUCAAUCGUUCAGGGCUAUUAGAGGGCCUCCGAUUGAUUAUUUCUUUUACCUGAUUUAUAUUAUGUCAAUGCAUUCAUACUAAACUGCUGAAUUUGGCAUGUUACAUUCUUUAUUGAAUCUGUUAUAAGAUUGUUGAUCGAGACAGUUGAGAUAUAUAUGCUAUAUACUAUUUUUAUGGGAAAGUAUACAGGUUUUCCAAAAAGGGGUUAUAAAUGUGGAUUUAUGAAAUGUUUUGGAAAAGCUUUAUUUUCGCCCACUCACGUUUUCUGUUUUUCGCCCCUCCAGGUUAUAGUUGAUAGUUGAGGCGUUGGUGGCCUACGAGGACUGCUUCGGCGUUCUGACAGACUAAAUAAAUGUAGGAUUCACCCGAGGGUGUUGUAAAAUAGUUAUGGUCCUACUUGACUGCACCUAGACGCUUAUGCUCUGUUUAUGUGUGUUUAGUACACUCUUAUGCACAUAGAAUGCUAGGUUGUAAAUAACUGCAAUUAGUGGUUUUCGUUGACUCGUAUUUUUUUUAUUAAAUCGUUUCCGCUUGCGUUAUGGUUACGUCACGCUCACGUGACGGCCAGCAUGUCCUAGUCUUCGGGUUAGGGUGUGUCAGUUUGGUAUCAGAGCAUAGGUUGCAGUCCUGUAUAACUAGUGAUUUUACUUAUUAAUUUUUGGAUGUUUUCUGUCAGAAUUAUGCCGCCUCGUAGAGAUCCUCGCCGUGCUGCUGAGCCUAAUUUCCCCGAUAUAACUCAGCUAGGGGCAGCAAUGGCUCAAGCUUUUCAGGCUAAUAUCCGUCCUCCUCAGAGAACGCCCGUAGAGACGAUGUAUAAUCUGAAACUGGAAACUUUUGAGGGAAAUGAAGGUUAUGAAGGGGCAGAAAAGUGGUUGGAUCGAAUUGAGCAGACCUUUCAAGUGAUGCAAAGUCAGGGAAACCUGCCAGCUAAUAGAUGGGUGGAGACCACCACCUGGUUUUUGGGCCGUGAGCCAGCGGCGUGGUGGAUAAAUCAGUCGAGGCACAUGGCACCUGAAAGGACAGCCGAAUGAGAGGUAUUUAAGGAAAAUUUUAUGAAGAGAUUUGUUCCUCCGGAAUAUAUAGAUCGCAAGAAACAGGAAUUCACCAGUCUGAAGCAGAGAAAUAUGUCCGCACAUGAGUACUACAGGAAGUUUACUGAUUUAUCCCGUUAUGAUCUGAUUUAGCGGGUAAUCAAGCAGAAAUGCUUCGUCGUUUCAAGCUAGGAUCUAAGAAGAAGUACAGAACGUUUGCCAAUGCACUUCCCUGUGCCGAUUAUCAUGAGUAUUUUGAGAUUCUGGUCCGGAUGGAAGACUCUGAUAAUCUUCCGGACAGUGAGGAUGAAGAGGAUAAGGGUAAUGGUCAGAAGAAAAAUGAGAAAGGUAAAGGUGUUUCCAUUCCAGGACCUCGUCAGACGUAGAAUUUCAAGAAAAGUGGAAUGAGUUCCAGUUCUUCCAGUGGUGGAUUUAGUGCCACAGGUCCGAGGAGAGGAGGUGGUAGGUUUGGUAAUGGACUUAGAUUUUCUGGUCAGAGAGGUUUUGGUGGUACUGGUAGUUCGGGUUCUCCGUUAUGUCGCCAUUGUAAUUUCCGACAUUAUGGGGAAUGUAGGAGAAUCAGUGGUGCAUGCUUUACAUGUGGUCAGACAGGACAUAGAGCUAUGAAUUGUCCCCAGAAUCAGCAGAGGCCCCAGCAGCUUGUUAGGCCAACACCAGCACCGACUCAACAGAACUUUAAUUCAGGCAAUUAUGGCCAGGGUGGUCGUGGUGGUGCUUAUCACUAUCAGGGUGAUGCUGCUCCUUAUGCUCCGGGACAGUAUCACUAUUCCCAGGAUCCUUAUUUUCAGAGUGGAUAUUCUCAGGAUCAAGGAGGUUAUACUUCAUAUCCGUCUAUGCCAGCUAGCGGAUCUCAGUGGUAUCAGGGGGGUCAGCCCCAACAGAGCGGAGUUGCUGCUAGUAGUACAGGGUCGUUUAGGCCGCCUGCCCAGGCAGGUCAAGGACGUACUCAUCAGGGACGAGGUAACCAGAGUGGCAGAGGUCGUGGAGGACGACAGUCAGCUCAGGGACGUGUUAACCACAUAUCGCUACAAGAUGCUCAGAACCAUCCAGACUUGAUUAUAGGUACGUUGAAUGUUCUUGGUCAUUUUGCUAGAGUCUUGAUUGAUUGUGGUGCUACACACUCUGUGAUUUCUCAUACAUUUGCUCAAAUAACGCAACCUCAUCCUUCACCUCUAGGGUUUGAUUUAGAGUUUGCUAUGCCUAGAGGGGAUAAAUGUUAUGUUGAUAGUUUUUACUCUGGGUGUCCAGUGAUGGUAGAUAAUGUCAUUAUGCCUGCUAAUCUUAUCCCGUUAGACAUCGUGGAUUUUGAUGUGAUUUUAGGGGCGGAUUGGUUGCAUUAUAAUCGCGCCCAUAUAGAUUGUUACGGGAAAUCAGUUACUUUUCUUCGUCCUGGACUACCCGAGGUUACAUUUGUGGGUGAAAGAAAUGGGGUGAGGCAUGGUGUUAUUUCAGCCAUAAGGGCAAAGAAGUUGUUAUCCAAGGGUUGUCAGGGAUACUUGGCACAUGUGGUGUUAAAUGAUGUUGAUUCCGGUAGUGUGGAGGAAGUCGGAGUAGUCAGACACUAUCCUGAUGUAUUUCCAGAUGAUUUACCUGGGUUGCCUCCAGAUAGAGAUGUGGAAUUUUCGAUUGAUUUGCUUCCAGGUACGAACCCUAUCUCUUUGACUCCUUAUAGAAUGGCACCAGCGGAAUUAAGAGAGUUGAAAAUUCAAUUGCAAGAGUUAAUUGAUAAAGGUUUCAUUCAGCCUAGUUCUUCACCUUGGGGAGCUCCGGUGUUGUUUGUAAGAAAGAAAGAUGGAACUUUGAGAUUGUGCAUUGAUUACAGGCAAUUGAAUCGGGUGACGAUUAAAAACCGUUAUCCCUUGCCUCGUAUAGAUGAUUUGUUUGAUCAACUCAAAGGUGCCUGUGUGUUUUCUAAGAUCGAUUUGAGGUCUGGGUAUUAUCAAUUAAAGAUUAAAGAUGAGGAUGUUCAUAAAACAGCUUUCAGGACUCGUUAUGGGCAUUAUGAGUUUUUGGUGAUGCCAUUUGGAUUAACGAACGCUCCUGCAGCUUUCAUGAGAUUGAUGAAUGAAGUAUUCCAGGAAUAUCUUGACAAGUUUGUUAUUGUUUUUAUUGAUGACAUCCUGGUAUAUUCUAAGUCGAAAUCAGACCAUAUUCGACAUCUUAACUUGGUGUUAAGGAAAUUGAGGGAACACCGAUUAUAUGCCAAAUUUAGUAAAUGUGAAUUUUGGCUGGAUCAAGUGGCAUUUUUGGGACAUGUAGUAUCAGCUCAGGGAAUUCAAGUGGAUCCUCAAAAGAUAGCAGCAGUGGAAAAUUGGGAACAACCUCGAACGGUCACUGAGGUGCGGAGUUUUCUUGGUUUGGCAGGUUAUUAUAGACGGUUUGUUCAAGACUUUUCUAUGAUUGCCUUGCCAUUAACGAAGUUAACCAGGAAGGAUGUUAAGUUUGAAUGGGAUGAAAGUUGUGAGCAAAGUUUCCAGCAGUUGAAGUAUUGCCUUACUCAUGCACCUGUGUUAGUACUUCCUGAUGAUGAUGGUAACUUCGAGAUCUUUAGUGAUGCUUCUUUGAAUGGUUUGGGUUGUGUUUUGAUGCAGCAGAGUAGAGUGAUUGCCUAUGCUUCUAGGCAGUUGAAGAUUCAUGAAAGAAACUAUCCGACUCACGAUCUUGAGUUGGCAGCUAUUGUGUUUGCUUUGAAGAUCUGGAGACAUUAUCUCUAUGGCGAGAAAUGUAAGAUCUUUACAGAUCAUAAAAGCCUUAAGUACCUUUUCACUCAGCAUGAUCUUAAUCUUCGUCAGAGAAGAUGGUUGGAAUUGUUAAGUGAUUAUGAUUGCACGAUUGAGUACCAUCCGGGUCGUGCAAAUGUGGUAGCUGAUGCUCUGAGUAGAAAACCUCAAGGGCGACUUAAUGCUUUGUAUGCCAGUCGUGUUCCUCUUCUGGCAGAGUUGAGAUCCACUGGAGUAGAAUUAGAAUGGGAAGAGCAAAGUGAAGCUUUUCUUGCCAAUUUUCAAGUCAAGCCAAUUUUAAUUGAUCGGGUGCUUACAGCUCAAUCGUUGGAUGAAGAAAUUCAAGAAUUGAUCAGUUUAAGAAAGGAAGGGAAGAAGAAAGAUCUCAAGAUCCGAGAAUCUGAUAGUAUGCUUAUGCAAGAGAACAGGAUGUAUGUGCCUAACAAUGAAGAACUGAAGAAAGAAAUCUUGGAUGAAGCACAUUGUUCGGCUUAUGCUAUGCACCCAGGAGGAACUAAAAUGUAUCAUACCAUUCGACCAUUCUACUAUUGGCCGGGUAUGAAGAGGGAGAUUGCGGAGUAUGUUAGUAGGUGUAUUGUCUGCCAGCAGGUUAAGGCUGAAAGAAAGAAGCCGUUUGGGAGAUUGCAACCACUUCCUGUUCCCCAGUGGAAAUGGGAGAAUAUAACGAUGGAUUUUGUGUAUAAGCUGCCACGUACACAAAAUGGUUUUGAUGGCAUUUGGGUGGUUGUAGAUCGACUUACCAAAUCAGCACAUUUUAUUCCAGUAAGGGAGAAGUAUCCUUUAAAUAAGUUGGCUCAGUUAUUCAUAUCGAAGAUUGUAAAGUAUCAUGGUGUCCCAGUGAAUAUUAUUUCUGAUCGAGAUCCAAGAUUUACUUCUAAGUUUUGGAUAGCUUUUCAAGAAGCUUUGGGUACUAGAUUGCUUUACAGUACAGCUUAUCAUCCACAGACAGAUGGUCAGUCGGAGAGAACUAUUCAGACACUCGAGGAUAUGUUGAGAUCCUCUGUGAUGCAAUUUGGUGAUUCUUGGCAUGAUCGUUUGGAUUUGAUGGAGUUUGCCUAUAAUAAUAGUUUUCAUUCGAGUAUUGGAAUGUCUCCAUUUGAAGCACUUUAUGGUAAAGCUUGCCGUACGCCAUUAUGUUGGUCAGAGGUUGGUGAAAGAAUACUUGAAGGGCCAGAGAUUGUGGAUGAGACUACUCAGAAUAUUCAGGUAAUUAAAUCUAACCUGAAAGUGGCCCAGGAUAGACAAAAGAGCCUAGCGGAUCGACAUACCACGGACAGAAUGUAUAAUGUGGGCGACUAUGUUUUUCUGAAAUUAUCGCCUUGGAGAGGUGUGGUUCGCUUUGGAAAGAAAGGAAAGCUAAGUCCCAGGUACAUUGGACCUUAUGAGAUCACUGACAGGAUUGGUGAAGUUGCUUACAGGUUGGAGCUACCUCCAGAGUUGUCUAAGGUACAUAAUGUGUUCCAUGUCUCGAUGCUUCGGCAUUAUGUGUCAGAUCCUUCACAUGUGAUUCCUCCUCAACCAUUGGAAAUUAAUCCGGACUUGACGUACGAUGAGGAACCAGUGACUAUACUGGAUUGGAAAGAUAAGACCUUGAGGAAUAAGACCGUGAGCUUGGUAAAAGUAUUGUGGAGGAACCAUUCAGCGGAAGAAGCUACUUGGGAGACAGAAGAACGGAUGAGAGAUAUGUAUCCAAGGUUAUUCUAUGAGUAUUGAGGGUUUGGUUAGUGGCUGGAAUUUCGGGGACGAAAUUCUAUAAGGAGGGGAGAUUGUCACAGCCCGUCCCGGAAUUUUAAUUCCGAGGACGUGAAAUGACCAAUGUGACCUUAAACGGGAUUAAGGUGUGUAAAUGUUUGACAUUUGUUUUACCUAAAGAUCCUAAACUAUUGUUAUUUAGAAUAUUAUUUUAUGUUAGGGACUUAAACUAGGGUUUAGAUUUACAUUUGUUUGGUCUAAUAAUUUUGUAUUGGACUUAGGUGGGAUCCCCACCUCCUGAAAUCCUUCCCCAAAACCCGUAGGUUGUCUCUCUCCCUCUUUCUUCCUCAUCUCUCCCUCAGAAACACUCUCUCUCUUACUCUCGAACUCUCUCAAGCUCUCGGACAAACACCAAGAACAACCACAAACGUGCACCAACGUCCAAUCUAAGAUCAUCUUCGUGAUCUUGGGAACUUCACGAGCACGGGGGUAUAAGUUUCAGGUAAGUUUCAUUUCUGAAAUCCUAGUUUCAAAACACCCCGUGAAUUGACACUGUUCACGAACUUAAAUUUCGUUGUGUUUUAGGCUAAUCUGAGAUCACCACGAGUCUUAGAAAGUUCCAAGGAGGCUCGGAGUGCCUCGUUUGAACAAAAUGGACGUCGAGAUCGUCGGGUUCGAGUUUGGCCGAAAUUGAGGAAUUUUGGAAGGUAUGAUCUCGUAGUUUUUAGACCUUAAAACCCUUCCAUCGUGAUUGUACAUGUGAAAUGCUUCAUUUUGGUGUAAAAUACAUGAAAAAUGGACGAAAAAACGAAGGAGAAAAGUGGAUUUGAAAUUUUUCCAGAAACCGGCGAACAGUCGCCGGCGGCCGGUGACUCGCCGGAGAAGACAGGGAAUAUUCCGUCAAAACUGACGGAAUAUUCCAACGCCGUUACCGUUACCGUUGGGUAUUUAACGGAAUAUUCCGAGAAUAUUCCCUAACGCCGUUCACUGUACCGUCAGUGUGCACGGCACGUGGCUGCGCGUGGGGGCGCGUAGACCCGUGCCCUAUUUGGCGCGUGGAGGCGCGUGGAGCAUUCAAAAUUUUUUUUUUAAAAAUAUGGGGAUGAUCCUGAGGUUGUGUAGGUCACGGUGGUAUAUUUUAUAUACCCAAUUUGAGCAACAUAUGGAAUUUAUUACCUAGUUGGUUUAGGUGCGUUAAAUGUGCGUUAAAUGAUUGUUUUAAGUUAUUUCACUUCUAGGUGGAACUUUUAACGAGGACGAGCACAUCCAGGGGCGUCAAGGGGGUUACGACCCGGCGACAUACCAGUGAGUGGGCAUUGCUUUCUAUAUAUAUAUACCUAUAUACUCGAUUUCCCCAGAAAUCAAAUUUAAAUGAAAAAUAUACUGAAAUGAAAUGAAAUAUGAUGUGAUUGCCAUGCAUAGAAUGUUAUGGAUAUUAUGAACUGUCGUAUGAUGCAUAUAUGUGUGAUGGUGCUGUGGACGCACAGGUAAGUAUUUAAUUACUGUUAUGUUGAGGAUGAUGAUAUAUUGAGCUCAUAUCCUGCACCAUGGUUUAGUGCUUAUAGUAUUCACCGCAUCGCACGCUCGCCUUGGAUCCAAGUAGAUGCUGGUCGUACAGUCCACGCGGAGUGGGUACGACGGGCCAGUCGUAGAGUGUUAGUGAGAUUAUGACUGGUGGGUGACCUUAGGUUAUUGUAUACAGAUGAUUGAUGAGAGAAGCACUAGAGCGAAUAUUACCAUGAGUCGUUCAGACUGCAUUAGGUGGUUCCGACUUAUGUGCAGAAGGCCGGACAGGUCACGCGGAGUGACUCCGGCAGAGAGUGAGAUUGAUAGAUGUUGAGCUCUAGGUUCAAUCGUUCAGGGCUAUUAGAGGGCCUCCGAUUGAUUAUUUCUUUUACCUGAUUUAUAUUAUGUCAAUGCAUUCAUACUAAACUGCUGAAUUUGGCAUGGUACAUUCUUUAUUGAAUCUGUUAUAAGAUUGUUGAUCGAGACAGUUGAGAUAUAUAUGCUAUAUACUAUUUUUCUGGGAAAGUAUACAGGUUUUCCAAAAAGGGGUUAUAAAUGUGGAUUUAUGAAAUGUUUUGGAAAAGCUUUAUUUUCGCCCACUCACGUUUUCUGUUUUUCGCCCCUCCAGGUUCUAGUUGAUA
rnacentral:lncRNA from 1 species